rnacentral:lncRNA from 1 species
AUUAAUAAGAGGCCUAAUGGCCUAUUUAACAGUACAAAAGUAAACAGAAUAAUUGCAAUAAACUAAAAUUCUUGGCUAAAAGCCCUAAGUUUAUUCCAUGUUUCCGAUAAUUGGCCUUUUUUUUCUCCAACUAUAUCCUGUUGUAGCAGGGUUCUUCAACGGAGGAGGGAUUGAAGGAUUGAAGGAGAGACAGAGAGAUUGAAGGAUUGUGGUUCUUCUACGGCAAAAGGAUUAACGGAAUACGGAUUGAAGGAUUAUGGAUCUAGUGGAUUAGGGAUUUUCUCGUUUCCUUUUUGUGUGAAAUAUUUGGGAAGAAAAACAAAAAUUUAAGAUAUAAAAAAUAAAAGAUUAUAAUAUGUUACAAUGUUGGAACCUUUAACAUAAGAUGUCGUUGAUUUUGCUUGUCAUGGUUCAGACAAAUAUAGAGGCAAAUGCUACUAGUGAGAUCAAGU